rnacentral:lncRNA from 1 species
CGGCUCUAGUCUUACCAUCUACUACGGGCCCAGAGUCUCAGGUGAUGCCAAAGGAGACCCGAGCAGAGGGAUCUUUGCCUCCAAUUAGCCUUUCUUACCUAGUUUGCCAAGCUUCCAUGAAAAAAGAAUGCUAGCCAUGCAGGAGUAGGAGGAGAUUGCAAGAGCUGGAAGAGCAAAGACUCUGUAGCACUCAAAGCUCCUCCCAGGAUCUCAUAACAAACCACAGAGUCAGUUUGCUUCUCCGUUUUCCAAAUCCAAGUUCUGGCCCUGCCGCAUGACUCCUUCGAGGACUUGCUGAGGCUCUUGUUACCGGGCGACACUCAGAGACAGUGAGGCGUUUUGCUGCCCCUUUACAGAGGCUGAUGCAGACAGAUGACUAUGGCCUUCCACUGCGGGCUGUUUGCAUUUUCCUUUCGAACUUUACUCCUUGACCACACAUUACAGAAGGAUUUAGUCCACGUGGAUUGACCUAGCAUGAUUUCUGGUGCAGUGUGUAUGUUUGCCCUCUGAGACCGGAGUUUGGUUUCAUGUAGUUUUCUAUUGCUGUGUAGAGUACUCAGUCUUAGCAACCACUGAAAUCCAAGAAAGAACCCUUACACGAAAAACUGAAGAAACCACCAGUCAUUUCCUGCAUUUCUCCAGCAGUGUGUGGCUGUCCCCCCACUACUACACUUCCCAGCGCAGUCCUCCCUAUGUGAUAGGGAUGAUCUCAGCAGCUGGUAUCAGGGAAUGGAGGUUUUGUAAAUGU